CCUACGUGAGGCAGCAGUAGGGAAUCUUCCACAAUGGGCGAAAGCCUGAUGGAGCAACGCCGCGUGGGUGAAGAAGGUCUUCGGAUCGUAAAACCCUGUUGUUAGAGAAGAAAGUGCGUGAGAGUAACUGUUCACGUUUCGACGGUAUCUAACCAGAAAGCAACGGCUAACUACGUGCCAGCAGCCGCGGUAAUACGUAGGUGGCAAGCGUUAUCCGGAUUUAUUGGGCGUAAAGGGAACGCAGGCGGUCUUUUAAGUCUGAUGUGAAAGCCUUCGGCUUAACCGGAGUAGGGCAUUGGAAACUGGGAGACUUGAGAGCAGAAGAGGAGAGUGGAACUCCAUGGGUAGCGGUGAAAUGCGUAGAUAUAUGGAAGAACACCAGUGGCGAAAGCGGCUCUCUGGUCUGUAACUGACGCUGAGGUUCGAAAGCGUGGGUAGCAAACAGGAUUAGAUACCCCUGUAGUC
rnacentral:rRNA from 1 species